rnacentral:rRNA from 1 species
UUAAGUUAACAAGGGCGCAUGGUGAAUGCCUUGGCACUAGGAGCCGAUGAAGGACGGGACUAACACCGAUAUGCUUCGGGGAGCUGUACGUAAGCUAUGAUCCGGAGAUUUCCGAAUGGGGCAACCCAGCAGUUUUAAUCAACUGUUACCACUAGAUGAAUUCAUAGUCUAGUUGGAGGUAAACGCUGUGAACUGAAACAUCUCAUUAGCAGCAGGAAUAUAAAGAAAUUUCGAUUCCCUAAGUAGCGGCGAGCGAACGGGGAACAGCCCAAACCAAAGUGCUUGCACUUUGGGGUUGUAGGACUGAACAUUUGAGUUACCAAAGAACUUGAUAGUCGAAGGAUUUGGGAAAAUCCGCCAUAGAUGGUGAUAGCCCAGUAGAUUAAAUCAAAUUCUCUCAGUUCAGGAUCCUGAGUACGGCGGAACACGUGAAAUUCCGUCGGAAUCCGGGAGGACCAUCUCCCAAGGCUAAAUACUACCUAGUGACCGAUAGUGAACCAGUACCGUGAGGGAAAGGUGAAAAGCACCCCGGGAGGGGAGUGAAAUAGUUCCUGAAACCAUGUGCCUACAAUAAGUCAGAGCGCGUUAAUGCGUGAUGGCGUGCCUUUUGUAGAAUGAACCGGCGAGUUAUGAUCCCGUGCAAGGUUAAGACUAAAAAGUCGGAGCCGUAGCGAAAGCGAGUCUGAAAUGGGCGUUUUGAGUACGAGGUUAUAGACCCGAAACCAGGUGACCUAUCCAUGUCCAGGUUGAAGGUGCGGUAAAACGCACUGGAGGACCGAACCCGUGUAAGUUGAAAAUUGCUGGGAUGAGGUGUGGAUAGCGGUGAAAUUCCAAACGAACUUGGAGAUAGCUGGUUCUCUCCGAAAUAGCUUUAGGGCUAGCCUCGGAAUUAGGAUCAUGGAGGUAGAGCACUAUUUGGACUAGGGGCCCGUCUUGGGUUACUGAAUUCAGAUAAACUCCGAAUGCCAUUGAUUCAUAUCCGGGAGUCAGACGAUGAGUGAUAAGAUCCACCGUCGAAAGGGGAACAGCCCAGACCAUCAGUUAAGGUCCCUAAAUGUAUGCUAAGUGGAAAAGGAUGUGGAGUUGCAUAGACAACUAGGAUGUUGGCUCAGAAGCAGCCACCAUUUAAAGAGUGCGUAAUAGCUCACUAGUCGAGUGAUCCUGCGCCGAAAAUGUACCGGGGCUAAGCAUACUACCGAAACCAUGGAUGCGACCAUUAGGUCGCGUGAUAGGAGAGCGUUCUAAGGGCGGUGAAGCAAGAUCGUGAGGACUUGUGGAGCGCUUAGAAGUGAGAAUGCCGGUAUGAGUAGCGAAAGAUAGGUGAGAAUCCUAUCCACCGAAUGACUAAGGUUUCCUGGGGAAGGCUCGUCCUCCCAGGGUUAGUCAGGACCUAAGUCGAGGCCGAGAGGCGUAGACGAUGGAUAACAGGUUGAGAUUCCUGUACUAGUUAAGUGCGUUUGAGCAAUGGAGGGACGCAGGAGGCUAAGAUGUGCAUUCUGUUGGAUUAGAAUGUCCAAGCAGUAAGUCUUGUGAAGAGUCAAAUGCUUUUCACUUUAAGGACAAGCUGUGAUGGGGAGCGAAAUUUAGUAGCGAAGCGUCUGAUGUCACACUGCCGAGAAAAGCUUCUAGUGAGUACUUAACUACCCGUACCGCAAACCGACACAGGUAGUCGAGGAGAGAAUCCUAAGGUGAGCGAGUGAACUCUCGUUAAGGAACUCGGCAAAAUGACCCCGUAACUUCGGGAGAAGGGGUGCUGAUCGCAAGAUCAGCCGCAGUGAAUAGGCCCAGGCGACUGUUUAUCAAAAACACAGGUCUCUGCAAAAUCGUAAGAUGACGUAUAGGGGCUGACGCCUGCCCGGUGCUGGAAGGUUAAAAGGAUGGGUUAGCUUCGGCGAAGCUCAGAAUUGAAGCCCCAGUAAACGGCGGCCGUAACUAUAACGGUCCUAAGGUAGCGAAAUUCCUUGUCGGGUAAGUUCCGACCCGCACGAAAGGCGUAACGAUCUGGGCACUGUCUCAACGAGAGACUCGGUGAAAUUAUAUUGUCCGUGAAGAUGCGGACUACCCGCGACAGGACGGAAAGACCCCAUGGAGCUUUACUGUAGCUUGAUAUUGAGUGUUUGUACAGCUUGUACAGGAUAGGUAGGAGCCAUAGAAACCGGAACGCUAGUUUCGGUGGAGGCGUUGGUGGGAUACUACCCUCGCUGUAUGACCACUCUAACCCGCACCACUAAUCGUGGUGGGAGACAGUGUCAGGUGGGCAGUUUGACUGGGGCGGUCGCCUCCUAAAAAGUAACGGAGGCGCCCAAAGGUUCCCUCAGAAUGGUUGGAAAUCAUUCGCAGAGUGUAAAGGCACAAGGGAGCUUGACUGCGAGACAGACAGGUCGAGCAGGGACGAAAGUCGGGCUUAGUGAUCCGGUGGUACCGUAUGGAAGGGCCAUCGCUCAACGGAUAAAAGCUACCCUGGGGAUAACAGGCUUAUCUCCCCCAAGAGUCCACAUCGACGGGGAGGUUUGGCACCUCGAUGUCGGCUCAUCGCAUCCUGGGGCUGUAGUCGGUCCCAAGGGUUGGGCUGUUCGCCCAUUAAAGCGGUACGCGAGCUGGGUUCAGAACGUCGUGAGACAGUUCGGUCCCUAUCCGUCGCGGGCGUAGGAAAUUUGAGAGGACCUGUCCUUAGUACGAGAGGACCGGGAUGGACAUACCUCUGGUGUACCAGUUGUGCCGCCAGGCGCAUCGCUGGGUAGCUACGUAUGGAUGUGAUAAACGCUGAAAGCAUCUAAGUGUGAAACACACCUCGAGAUGAGAUUUCCCAUUCCUUUAUGGAAGUAAGACCCCUGAAAGAUGAUCAGGUAGAUAGGUUAGAAGUGGCAGUGCGGUGACGCAUGAAGCGGACUAAUACUAAUCGGUCGAGGACUUAACCAA